UGGCUCAGUUGGUAGAGCAUGACGUUUGCAAUGCCAGGGUUGUGGGUUUGAUUCCCAC
rfam:Salmo salar isolate Sally breed double haploid chromosome ssa16, whole genome shotgun sequence.